AAGUCGUAACAAGGUCUCCGUUGGUGAACCAGCGGAGGGAUCAUUACCGAGUUUACAACUCCCAAACCCCUGUGAACAUACCUAUUUGUUGCCUCGGCGGUGCCUGUUCCGACAGCCCGCCAGAGGACCCCAAACCCUGAUUACAUUUAAGAAGUCUUCUGAGUAAACCGAUUAAAUAAAUCAAAACUUUCAACAACGGAUCUCUUGGUUCUG
rnacentral:misc_RNA from 1 species